UGUUAAAUACACAAAACUUUUUUAUAGUAAAUGCAAAUCCAGGCAAGCAAGAUUUAAAAACUAUGAUUGUCUAUUUAUUGAAAUUGAAGUGUGUAGCAUUAUUCACCAAUAUGCUUUUUAUUAAUUGACCGAUAUACUAUAUUAUGAGAUUACAGCUAAACGUUUUAGCUGUUAUUUGUGUGCAUGUUUCUUUAUACUACAGAUUGAAACUUCACAGAAUAAGAGCUCGUUGCGUGAAGUUGAAGUUAAGUUACCAACAGACUCUUAAAAGACCAUUUGGGUCCCUUGGCCGACAGUCAGGGUCCACUGAUGAUUAUUAAACAUAAGAAAGAAACCCCCGAGUGCUCCAUGUAAUGUCCUCUCACAAAACAAACACAGUAAUGUCCUCAUUACGCCAUUAGCAAAUGGAGACUAGGUAACGGAUCUGCGCCCGAGUAUCGGUGAAAUAAACGUUGCACCAACUGGCGAGAUACAGACACCACUGCUGAGCAACCAUAAUGCAAACUAAAACCAAGGUGGCCUCUCCCGAAAAUGCAACGGAUUAUUCAAUUUCCAUACUUCAGAUUAGUAUUGUGGCGAUUUAAAAAUCUGCAUUUAAUUAGUAAAAGGAGUUAAUUAGAAAUAAAUUAAAUCUGCAUUAUUGUGUACAUUAUUAAAAA